ensembl:lncRNA
GGAAAGGCUAAUCCACAAAAACGGAGAAACGUCCAUAAUUCCAUUAUUCAUAAUCAUGUCAAGGUUUUAGGUUUUUCUGCAGUUCCAUCUCUAAAAAGUGUGAUGUCUUCCCGUCACUGAUUUCAGUUUGAAAACUUUGUAUUUAUUCACAGAUUUCUGUGAGAUCAUCCUAAAAUUUGUAACGAAAAAUGGGCUCAAAAGAGCCCUCUGCCUAACGGCAUGUAGCCUAUAGCAUAACGUGAUAUUUUCAGUAGUGUAUGCAAAAAGGUCGGAAUUGAUGGAGAGUAGGGUUGCCUAAAUGGUUUAGGUUACAUUUUAAAUGUGUCGUUUUUUUGUUUAUACAUAUGGAUGGAUGGAGGGGGCAAGCUGGCAAAGUUUGUCAUGUGCAGUUUCUGACAGGCUACUUCACAACAAAACAAUUGCAGGUUGGUCUUAGAGGGCAAACAGAAUAAUUUCACUCGAUUCAUGGGUUACCUGACUGGUUGGGAAGGGAAAGAGCUGCCGUGUUGUCCGCCGUGGUUCCCAGUCGCUAUAGUUAGCCUACUAUGCCUACUCCAAGUAGUCCUAUGUCAUGCCGCUGCUACACGCCUCACAACAAAUGAACUGCAAGCGUGUUCACGUGACACGGUGACAGUGAAAAAGCGACAGGGUUCGGGUGUCUUUGAAGAAGGGGCACAAAUCAAGCCAUUAUUUUCACACCUUUUUAAAUCGCGCAGCUUUAAAAAAAUAAUAAUAAUCACGUCUUUCAAAAGGGCACUUUUUUGGACUGAAGGCAAAAGGGCAAGUGCUUCAGCACCACCUCGUCUCUAUCUGUGCAUGCCAGUGGCAGUGUGUCCCUCAGUCUGUCCUCACUCUGGACACUUUUUUGUUUUUGCAAGUGUUUUUGUUUUUGCAGGUGUUUUUCUUUGGCAGGUGUUUUUGUUUUUGCAGCAAUUUUCUUUUUGCAGGUUUUUUUCUUUUGCAGGUGUUUUUGUUUUUGCAGCAUUUUUCUUUUUGCAGGUGUUUUUGUUUUUGCAAGUGUUUUUCUUUUUGCAGGUGUUUUUCUUUUGCAGGUGUUUUUGUUUUUGCAGCAUUUUUCUUUUUGCAAGGGUUUUUGUUUUUGCAGGUGUUUUUCUUUUGCAGGUGUUUUUGUUUUUGCAGCAUUUUUGUUUUUGCAGGUGUUUUUCUUUUGCAGGUGUUUUUGUUUUUGCAGCAUUUUUGUUUUUGCAGGUGUUUUUCUUUUGCAGGUGUUUUUGUUUUUGCAGCAUUUUUCUUUUGCAGGGGUUUUUCUUUUUGCAAGUGUUUUUCUUUUGCAGGUGUUUUUCUUUUUGCAGGUGUUUUUCUUUUGCAGGUGUUGUUCUUUUUGCAGGUGUUUUUCUUUUGCAGGUGUUUUUGUUUUUGCAGCAUUUUUCUUUUUGCAAGUGUUUUCUGAAGUUGCAGUCCGUUUGGCCUCUCAGUGCCACCGUAACAGGUGGAAUCAGGACCACAUUAAGACCUAAUCACCUUCUCUCUCUGUCACACACACACACACACACACACACACACACACACACACACACACAUUUGCUGUAACACAAAAAGAGAGAGAGUAUUUAAAUGUAAAGUCUGAACAUUAGUCACUCUGUCUUCGGUGUGUGUUAGGAGGGUAAAAGUCCAGCUGGCUUAUUUUCCUACCUGGACUCCAUGGUAACGUUGUCAUAAAAGCACGUCAAUAAUUAAUAUGGACUUUUGCGUGUGCGUGCUUUCAAAGUUUUCCUCACACACACACUCUCUCUCUCUCUGUUAUUACAGUCUGUGUGUGUGUGUGUGUGUGUGUGUGUGUGUGUGUGUGUGUGUGUGUGUGUGUGUGUGUGUGUCUGUUCCUG